CUGGAGCCAAUUUUUUUCAAUACAAUACCUUUUUGUAUUGAUUUCAUGUUUUUUUUUUUUUUUUUUGUAGACACCAAUCACCCAGAACCAAUGUAAAUCUGCAGACAGAAUACUGGUGAAUAUUGAUUCAGUUAUUGAUGAGAACAAACAACAUUUGUACACUGUCAGGAAACAAGCCUUUCUCCAAAACUUGUAUGCCGUCAUAAAAGAGUCACCCAAAAUCCUCAGGUUGUGAUUAUGAGGCUGUUCACACCAACAUGGAUCUCACCAUCUAUCAAAAUGUCUGAUGAUAAUGAACAGCACAAUGUUUAACAGUGUUUUUUUUAUGGUCAAAAUGAUAUACAUCAGAUUGUACAUUUUUAAAACUCUCUUUUUGAGUCUAUAGCUUGCAUUGACUGAUUUUAUAUAUUGUGUCUGUUCUGUUUUUAUCAACACUUUCCAGCAUGUUUGAGUGUAAACUAUAAAUACUGUACAUAUAAAAGUAGAAUCAAUUCUAGCACUGAUUUUUUUUUGCAUUUUAAUUUUAAUUAUCAAUAUAUUUGACAGUGAGUUAGUAUAAUAAUAAAUAACAAAGCAUUGUAUUGUAAAUUUGCAUGCAUAAUUGUUUUACUAAUUUUGUUUCUGAUUUAACUUAUUGCGAUUAAACAACACAAUGCACUAAAUUUAGCAAACCAAGAGCAAAAAGAAGACAGGCUGCUGAGAACCUGUGUGCAGCUUAUAUAUGACCCUAAGUAGAACAGGCAGCCAUAUCACCCUGGAUCCCAAGACCGGUUGCCCACUGAAGCUGAGCAGAGUUGAGCCUGGUUAUUCCCUGGAUGGGAGACCUCCUAGGAAAACUAGGUUGCUGCUGGAAGAGGUGCUAGUAUGGCCAGAAGGGGGCGCUCACCCUGUGGUCUGUGUGGGUCCUAGUGACCCAGUGUAGCGAUGGGGACACUAUAACUGUCAACAAGCACCGUCCUUCGGAUGAGACGAUGAGAGGUCCUGACAUGUGGUCAGUAACAAUCCCAGGGUGACUUUUGAAAAGAGUAGAGGUGUGAACUCGGCAUCCUUGCUAAAUUUGCCCAUUGGAAUCUAACCAUCCUGGCCUCAAUUGGCUUCAUCACUCUGUCUCCUCUCCACCAAUAAGAUGGCGUUCUGGCGCAAUAUGGCUACCGUCGCAUCAUCCAGGUGGAUGCUGCACACUGGUGGUGGAUGAGGAUACCACUGACCAGGGGCGGAUCUACUUGGGAGCCAUAAAAUGAAGCCUUGCCACCCCAGUUGGCAGCAACUAAUUAAAAGUUACGGCCAAUUUGAAAAUUUACGAGCAUGAAUCUCCAGUGUCCGACUGUAGUAAAUGCAGCCAGCACGAGAGGACGCCAGAGCGGCAAAAGACUGAUUUGUCCAAGUAGGAAAACUUUGAGAACCAGGAGUCGCAAGGAGACACAGGAGGAAAGAUAUGGCUUAUCUAUCUAUCUAUCUAUCUAUCUAUCUAUCUAUCUAUCUAUCUAUCUAUCUAUCUAUCUAUCUAUCUAUCUAUCAGGAAAUGUAGCUAUAAUAAAAAGCACAGUGCUAGCAUAGUUGUAAUGUUAACUUUGAGAUGAUAAAUAUCAGGUUACGUUAUUUCGCUAACUAAUGUUGAGUGGUGUAGUCUAGCCUACUAAGUGGUACGUUACCCACUUUUAAAAUGUGUUAGGAUCCGUAACAACAUCGUUUUGUGUCAGAACUUUCACACUUUCGUUCAUAAAUUCACCCCGUCUGUGUUUGCAUAACGACAGGGAUUGAAUCGACGGAUUCCAUCACGAAUGGCACUUGCUGUAUAAAGCAGAACGUCACGGAAUUCAAUAACACUUAAUCUUUCAUAAUGAUCUCAGUUACAUGUCGAUGCACACUGUAUGCAUUAGUGAGUGUAGGGGUGCUGAUGGGGUAUGGUCACUUAUUCCUUAUAUGAACGUUUUCAAAUGCAAGACAUUGAUUGCAUGAGAUUAAGCCUGUGCCCUUUUGUGGUGUGUACAUACUAUUUAUCAUCAAUAGUAAAUUCAGUAAAUUCAUCAGUGACUAAAUUCAGUAUAUAGACGUCUGCCAUAUGUUACCACCCCUUAAAAAAUCCUGCCCCCUUCUCGCCACCCCAUCAAUAUUUUUCUAGAUCCACCCCUGCCCCUGACACUGUUAAGCGCUUCGAGUGCCUAGAAAAGAGCUAUAUAAAUGUAAGGAAUUAUUAUUAUUAUUAUUAUUGCACCCUAAGAUUCCAGGUUUUCGUAUAGUUGUUUCUCAUCCAAAUGUUGUCCUAUCCUAACAAACCAUACAUCAAUGGAAAGCUUAUUUAUAUAGCUUCCAGGUGAUGUAUAAUUUUUUUUUUUUUUUUUCAGGGUCACAUAUGACAACAAGUGAGUAACAGGAACAGAGAAACCAGAAAUGAAGCCUUGCAAAGCAGGGGAAUACAAACAGGAAGUCCAUGAAAACUAAACCGAAACUGAUCAGAGUUACAAAUUAUGGUGUUAUAUUCAGGAAAUACAGUGCCCUCCACUAAUAUUGGCACCCUUAGUUAAUAUGGGCAAAUACACCUUUAUUGUUUAACCUUUUCAAAAAUUCAUUUCUUGUACUAUACCCAUCUGGUAGCUUUGUUUUCAAAAAAUAUUCUUUUUCUUCUUCUUCUUCUGACCAUAGAAGUUGGUGCCAUUUGAAGUUCCAGCCACGUCUGUCAACUGAAAAUGCUGGAGCUUUUCAGCAAGGAUAAUUUUUCUUGAAUCUCUACAGAACAACAUGUGGUGAUUUAGAGGCUGUUUGAUAGUUUCUUGGCUUUCUGACCCCGAGACUUUACUAAUCUUUGCAAUUCUUCAGCUGUGAGUCAUAUUUAUAAUCCUGUGGAACAGGACAUCAUGGCUGUGGGCAAUGUUAAAAAUUAAAUAUGAAUUGGAAUAUAGGGUUGCCAAUAAUUAUGGCUAACAUGUAUAGGAGAAAAACAUUAUAUUCAUCAUGAGAUUUCUCCCUACUUUCAAUUGUUGUUCUUCAAUGAAUGGUAAGAUUUUUUUUUUGUACAUUUUAGAUCCCAAACAUAAAUGAUGGCGAUUUAUUUUCACUUUACUCAUCUUUACCAAGGGUGCCAAUAUUAGUGGAGAGCACUGUAUAUUUGAGUGUGAUAUUUGUGCACUGUUGUGACGAAAUCCAACCCAUUCUCACUCCAAAGGCGUCAAAAACCGAAGCAUGGUCAAGCGCCCCUAGCAUCACUUUUAUGACGCCAAAUGUGCCUCUUGGCGUCGAAUAUCGAAGCACUACGACCUUCAU